rnacentral:rRNA from 1 species
GUUGUAUGGUUAAGUGACUAAGCGUACACGGUGGAUGCCUUGGCAGUCAGAGGCGAUGAAGGACGUAUUAACUUGCGAUAAGCCCAGAUUAGGUAGUAAAAACCAUUUGAGUCUGGGAUUUCCGAAUGGGGAAACCCACUUGCAUAAGCAAGUAUCGCUGCGUGAAUACAUAGCGCAGCGAGGCGAACCGGGGGAACUGAAACAUCUAAGUACCCCGAGGAAAAGAAAUCAACCGAGAUUCCGAAAGUAGCGGCGAGCGAAAUUGGACUAGCCCUUAAGCUUUUUAUGCGUCAGGUGAAACUUCUGGAAAGUUGUGCGAUACAGGGUGAUAGCCCCGUAACCGGCAACGCAUAUAAAGUGAAAUCGAGUAGGGCGGGACACGUGAUAUCCUGUCUGAAUAUGGGGGGACCAUCCUCCAAGGCUAAAUACUACUGACUGACCGAUAGUGAACCAGUACCGUGAGGGAAAGGCGAAAAAGAACCCCUGUGAGGGGAGUGAAAUAGAACCUGAAACCGUGUACGUACAAGCAGUAGGAGCACCUUCGUGGUGUGACUGCGUACCUUUUGUAUAAUGGGUCAGCGACUUAUAUUCAGUGGCAAGGUUAACCAUCUAGGGGAGCCGUAGCGAAAGCGAGUGUUAACUGCGCGACUCAGUCGCUGGAUAUAGACCCGAAACCAGGUGAUCUAGCCAUGGGCAGGUUGAAGAUUGAGUAACAUCAAUUGGAGGACCGAACCGACUAAUGUUGAAAAAUUAGCGGAUGACUUGUGGCUAGGGGUGAAAGGCCAAUCAAACCUGGAGAUAGCUGGUUCUCCCCGAAAGCUAUUUAGGUAGCGCCUCGGACGAAUACUACUGGGGGUAGAGCACUGUUAAGGCUAGGGGGUCAUCCCGACUUACCAACCCUUUGCAAACUCCGAAUACCAGUAAGUACUAUCCGGGAGACACACGGCGGGUGCUAACGUCCGUCGUGGAGAGGGAAACAACCCAGACCGCCAGCUAAGGUCCCAAAUUACUACUAAGUGGGAAACGAUGUGGGAAGGCUCAGACAGCCAGGAUGUUGGCUUAGAAGCAGCCAUCAUUUAAAGAAAGCGUAAUAGCUCACUGGUCGAGUCGGCCUGCGCGGAAGAUGUAACGGGGCUAAGUAGUAAACCGAAGCUGCGGCAAUGCACUUUGUGCAUUGGGUAGGGGAGCGUUCUGUAAGCGGUUGAAGGUGUGUGGUAACGCAUGCUGGACGUAUCAGAAGUGCGAAUGCUGACAUGAGUAACGAUAAAGGGGGUGAAAAACCUCCUCGCCGGAAGACCAAGGGUUCCUGUCCAACGUUAAUCGGGGCAGGGUAAGUCGACCCCUAAGGCGAGGCCGAAAGGCGUAGUCGAUGGGAAACGGGUUAAUAUUCCCGUACUUCUUACAAUUGCGAUGGGGGGACGGAGAAGGCUAGGUGGGCCUGGCGACGGUUGUCCAGGUUCAAGUGCGUAGGCUGAGAGAUUAGGUAAAUCCGGUUUCUCUUAAGGCUGAGACACGACGUCGAGCUACUACGGUAGUGAAGUCAUUGAUGCCAUGCUUCCAGGAAAAGCCUCUAAGCUUCAGAUUGUAAGGAAUCGUACCCCAAACCGACACAGGUGGUCGGGUAGAGAAUACCAAGGCGCUUGAGAGAACUCGGGUGAAGGAACUAGGCAAAAUGGUACCGUAACUUCGGGAGAAGGUACGCUCUUGAUGGUGAAGUCCCUUGCGGAUGGAGCUGACGAGAGUCGCAGAUACCAGGUGGCUGCAACUGUUUAUUAAAAACACAGCACUGUGCAAAAUCGUAAGAUGACGUAUACGGUGUGACGCCUGCCCGGUGCCGGAAGGUUAAUUGAUGGGGUUAGACUUCGGUCGAAGCUCUUGAUCGAAGCCCCGGUAAACGGCGGCCGUAACUAUAACGGUCCUAAGGUAGCGAAAUUCCUUGUCGGGUAAGUUCCGACCUGCACGAAUGGCGUAAUGAUGGCCACGCUGUCUCCACCCGAGACUCAGUGAAAUUGAAAUCGCUGUGAAGAUGCAGUGUACCCGCGGCUAGACGGAAAGACCCCGUGAACCUUUACUACAGCUUGGCACUGAACAUUGACCCUACAUGUGUAGGAUAGGUGGGAGGCUUUGAAGCAAGUACGCCAGUAUUUGUGGAGCCGUCCUUGAAAUACCACCCUUGUAGUGUUGAUGUUCUAACGUUGACCCCUAAUCGGGGUUGCGGACAGUGCCUGGUGGGUAGUUUGACUGGGGCGGUCUCCUCCCAAAGAGUAACGGAGGAGCACGAAGGUGGGCUAAUCACGGUUGGACAUCGUGAGGUUAGUGCAAUGGCAUAAGCCCGCUUGACUGCGAGAAUGACAAUUCGAGCAGGUGCGAAAGCAGGUCAUAGUGAUCCGGUGGUUCUGAAUGGAAGGGCCAUCGCUCAACGGAUAAAAGGUACUCCGGGGAUAACAGGCUGAUACCGCCCAAGAGUUCAUAUCGACGGCGGUGUUUGGCACCUCGAUGUCGGCUCAUCACAUCCUGGGGCUGAAGUCGGUCCCAAGGGUAUGGCUGUUCGCCAUUUAAAGUGGUACGCGAGCUGGGUUUAGAACGUCGUGAGACAGUUCGGUCCCUAUCUGCCGUGGGCGUUGGAAGAUUGAAGGGGGCUGCUCCUAGUACGAGAGGACCGGAGUGGACGAACCUCUGGUGUUCGGGUUGUGUCGCCAGACGCAUUGCCCGGUAGCUAAGUUCGGAAUCGAUAACCGCUGAAAGCAUCUAAGCGGGAAGCGAGCCCUGAGAUGAGUCUUCCCUGAUACUUUAAGUAUCCUAAAGGGUUGUUCGAGACUAGAACGUUGAUAGGCAGGGUGUGUAAGCGUUGUGAGGCGUUGAGCUAACCUGUACUAAUUGCCCGUGAGGCUUAACCAUACAACACCCAAGGGGUUU